GACAGAAAAACAAAACAAAACAAAACAGAGAAAUUCAACAGAAGAAAUGGGCAACAUACCGAUGGUCUAAGACAGAGAUUCUCACACAAGAAACAAUCCCAGAAAUUUUUUUAAGAAAAAAAAAAGGAAGGAAGAAAGAAAAAAAUUCACUUCACGUAAAGGGAAAAAAGCAGAAGCCGAAACCGGCGAUUGAAGAAGAGAUAGACAGAGAGAAAAAGAAUCAGAAAAAGAAAAAAAAUAUUUGGGGAAUCGGAUUUGGGAAUUGAGGGUUUGGUGGGGAUGAUGAGAUGAUGGGUUAAAGAAAGAGUAAAAGAGAUGAUGGAGAAGGGGAAAGAAAAGGGGAAAAGGGGAAAGAAAAAACACAGUGGGUUUGGCUUUGCGUGGAGGAAACCAACUCAGAGAGAGGGAGAGAG